AGCAGCCGCGGUAAUUCCAGCUCCAAUAGCGUAUAUUAAAGUUGUUGCAGUUAAAAAGCUCGUAGUUGAAUUUCGGGGUCGGUAGGUUGGUCAUGCCUCAGGUAUGCACUGGUCUCACUGAUUCCUCCUUCCUGAUGAGCCGUAAUGCCAUUAAUUUGGUGUUGCGAGGAAUCUGGACUGUUACUUUGAAAAAAUUAGAGUGUUUAAAGCAAGCUAACGCUUGAAUACAUUAGCAUGGAAUAAUGGAAUAGGACGUUCGAUCCUAUUUUGUUGGUUUCUAGGAUUGACGUAAUGAUUAAUAGGGAUAGUUGGGGGCAUUAGUAUUCAAUUGUCAGAGGUGAAAUUCUUGGAUUUAUUGAAGACUAACUACUGCGAAAGCAUUUGCCAAGGAUGUUUUCAUUAAUCAAGAACGAAAGUUAGGGGAUCGAAGACGAUCAGAUACCGUCGUAGUCUUAACCAUAAACUAUGCCGACUAGGGAUCGGAUGAUGUUAAUUUUUAAUGUACCCAUUCGGCG
rnacentral:rRNA from 1 species